rnacentral:lncRNA from 1 species
CACAGCAAGUCUGGCACGGAUCACAGCAUGGCUUUUGGCAUGGAUCACAGCAAGUCUGGCACGGAUCACAGCAUGGCUUUUGGCAUGGAUCACAGCAAGUCUGGCACGGGUCACAGCAUGGCUUUUGGCAUGGGUCACAGCAGGUCUGGCAUGGGUCACAGCAUGGCUUCUGGCAUGGGUCACAGCAAGUCUGGCACGGGUCACAGCAAGGCUUCUGGCAUGGGUCACAGCAAGUCUGGCACGGGUCACAGCAAGGCUUCUGACACGGGUCACAGCAGACAGUCUUCUCACAGCAGACAGUCUUCUGGCACGGAUCACAGCAGACUGUCUUCUGGCACGGAUCACAGCAGACUGUCUUCUGGCAGGGGCUGCAGCACACCGUCUUGCUCUUCACAACAGAGCAGGAUCCACUGGAGCAGCACACGCUGUGGCACAUGGUGUUUGUUGGUAAUGUAGUCCAAGCUGGAGGGAGCGAGGAUCUGAAACACAAUGCACAUUAAGAUACAAUCCAUCUUUUCAAAUUCAGAGAUGCGUUUUAUUUUGGCAUGCUGAUGCUGCUGUCUAGCCCCACGGGUGACAGCCACAUCACACAUCGCUUCCUAUUUAUUUGUAUUGAGCUGCACAAAACUGAGACUUACCUUGAGCCACCUGGCACUACCCCAUUGAUAUUUCUGCAUCUUUUGAGCUAUCCUGGGAGCUACCUUCCCUGUACUGACUGAUGAACAUCACUUGCAGAAUUCCCAUCCCAAAAAAGCUUCUUUUCCACUCCCAAGGCCUCAGCUCUGCACACCAACAGUCUUUUGCAGCAAGCAGUAGACCAACAGGAUGGGAAAGUCGCUGCCUCAGAGUUGUAGAUCAAAGAGCAUUUCCAUACAUUGCUUGACCAAAGCCAAAUGAGAACCGUUGUUAGCAGGCAACCCUAUGUAACACUUACCUUGCUAACUGAGGAGUUCAGCUGAAUGAGGAGCAAAGGGACAGGGAGACCUUUUAUUUAGCUGAAAAUGGCCCUGACGGAAAUGAGGUACCCCACAGCAAUUUGUGAUUUACCCACUAAGCCUAUACUUAUUUGUUGAAUGUGCCCGCAUCUGUUUGGUCUUCACCUCAUUAUUUUUGACCAACCCCUCAAUUUUGUGUUAUUAUCAAUUUAUUCUGCGAAUUUUUUACAAUUUUUUAAUGUCAAGUUAAUGUGUGGUGCUCUUGAGCUACUUAACAAGCACGUUUCUGCUCAUUUUGCAUCUGGUAGUACUGUGGCACUGAGAUGCUGAAUGGGUAUUGAGUGGUAAAUUAACAUACAAAUCAUAAUUUGGAUUGAGGAGAGCUGGAUUCCAGAGAUGUGCAGGGGCCUUUUGGGUGUCAGUCAUUCCUUC